rnacentral:lncRNA from 1 species
GUCACAUGAUCCUAAGGCUUCAGGAAUCGGAGGAAGUGGCUGACACUGACUUACCAUUUUAACCAAACAAUCACCGCACUUAAGCUUGGAUAAGGGUCAACUAAAACUAACAGGGCUCUUAUGCAAGCCCUUCCAGUCUGGUAAGUUAUGAGUAUUUACGUUUUAUUUCCCCCCAAAAACAAUAAGACCCUCAGAGGCAAGGAACUCAUCUUGGUUUUUGUCCCUUACACACCUAUCUCAGCCCAGUGGUAUGAUGGGCACUGGAAACAAACCACCUGGUUCAAAUCCUGGCUUGGUCACUUAUUGGCCAAGUGGCCUGAUAUGGUUUGGCUGUGUCCCCACCCAAAUCUCAUCUUGAAUUGUUAGCUCCCAUAAUUCCCAUGUGUUGUGGGAGGGACCUGGUGGGAGAGAAUUGAAUCAUGGGGGCGGUUUCCCCCAUAUUGUUCUCGUGGUAGUGAAUCUGUCUCACGAGAUCUGAGGGUUUUAUAAGGGGUUUCUCCUCUUGCUUGGCUCUUUCUUGUUUUGCCUGCCACCAUGUAAGAUGUGGCUUUGCUCCUCCUUGCCUUUGUCAUGAUUGUGAGGCCUCCCCAGCCCUCCCCAGGCGACACUUUGGAACUGUGAGUCAAUUAAACCUUUCCUAUAUAAAUUA